AGUGGCGGACGGGUGAGUAACGCGUGAGAAUCUGCCUUGGGGUCGGGGACAACCACUGGAAACGGUGGCUAAUGCCGGAUAAGCCGAUUGGUGAAAGAUUUAUUGCCCGAAGAGGAGCUCGCGUCUGAUUAGCUAGUUGGUGAGGUAAGAGCUCACCAAGGCAGCGAUCAGUAGCUGGUCUGAGAGGACGAUCAGCCACACUGGGACUGAGACACGGCCCAGACUCCUACGGGAGGCAGCAGUGGGGAAUUUUCCGCAAUGGGCGAAAGCCUGACGGAGCAAGACCGCGUGAGGGAGGAAGGCUCUUGGGUUGUAAACCUCUUUUCUCAGGGAAGAAGCUCUGACGGUACCUGAGGAAUCAGCCUCGGCUAACUCCGUGCCAGCAGCCGCGGUAAUACGGAGGAGGCAAGCGUUAUCCGGAAUUAUUGGGCGUAAAGCGUCCGCAGGUGGCGAUUCAAGUCUGCUGUCAAAGCACGGGGCUUAACUCCGUAAAGGCAGUGGAAACUGAAUAGCUAGAGUGCCGUAGGGGUAGAGGGAAUUCCCGGUGUAGCGGUGAAAUGCGUAGAGAUCGGGAAGAACAUCGGUGGCGAAAGCGCUCUACUGGACGGCAACUGACACUCAGGGACGAAAGCUAGGGGAGCGAAUGGGAUUAGAUACCCC
rnacentral:rRNA from 1 species